rnacentral:rRNA from 1 species
GAUGAACGCUAGCGACAGGCUUAACACAUGCAAGUCGAGGGGCAGCAUAAAAGUAGCAAUACUUUGGUGGCGACCGGCGCACGGGUGAGUAACGCGUAUGCAACCUACCUAUCAGAGGGGAAUAACCCGGCGAAAGUCGGACUAAUACCGCAUAAAACAGGGGCACCGCAUGGUGAUAUUUGUUAAAGAAAUUCGCUGACAGAUGGGCAUGCGUUCCAUUAGGUAGUUGGUGAGGUAACGGCUCACCAAGCCGACGAUGGAUAGGGGAACUGAGAGGUUGGUCCCCCACACUGGUACUGAGACACGGACCAGACUCCUACGGGAGGCAGCAGUGAGGAAUAUUGGUCAAUGGGCGGGAGCCUGAACCAGCCAAGUCGCGUGAAGGAAGAAGGAUCUAUGGUUCGUAAACUUCUUUUGCAGGGGAAUAAAGUGCAGGACGUGUCCCGUUUUGUAUGUACCCUGAGAAUAAGGAUCGGCUAACUCCGUGCCAGCAGCCGCAGUAA